rnacentral:rRNA from 1 species
UACAGAGGUGGCAAGCGUUGUUCGGAAUUACUGGGCGUAAAGGGCGCGUAGGCGGUCUUUUAAGUCUUGUGUGAAAUCCCUCGGCUCAACUGAGGAACUGCACGGGAUACUGGAAGACUUGAGUUCGGGAGAGGGAAGCGGAAUUCCGGGUGUAGCGGUGAAAUGCGUAGAUAUCCGGAGGAACACCGGUGGCGAAGGCGGCUCACUGGCCCGAUACUGACGCUGAGGCACGAAAGCGUGGGGAGCAAACAGG